GACAUUUUAAAUGCAAAGAUGACAUUGUUUGCUAUGACAACUUGACAUAAGCAAAGACAUCACAACAAGAUCUUUGUCACGACAGCUUGACAUUACCAAGACAUCAAAACUUGUCAUAAAUGUGUCAUAAGGCAUUAUAAUUGUGUCAUGACUAUUUCUCUGAUCACGUUUUCACUGUAUUUGUCAUUAUAAUGCCUCAUUAAAAAGUGUCAUUACUAAGUCAAAUAAUAUGUAAGAGUGUCGUUAAUGACAUUUUAAUGACAAACUCAGCUUGUAGUUAUAAAAGGCAUGACAUAACUGUAAUGGCUUCAUGACAGUCAUGUUUAUGACAGGUUUAUGACAAGUUUCAUUGUCUUGGUAAUGUCAAAUUGUCAUGACAAAGACAGAAACUGGUUGUGAUGUAUUUGUUUAUGUCAAGUUGUCAUGAACAAUGUCAUCUUUGCAUUCAAAACAGAGCAAAUGACACUUAGCUGUUAUAAGCAUUCAUAAAAUCUCAUUCACAUUCAUGAUUUGUCCUGUCAUGACUAUAAAGGUCUAAUGACAGCCUUGUUAACGCCUCCUUUAAGUCGCUCCCUGAACGAAAGUGAAGGAGGUAUUUAUCAUGACUUUCAAUGAGAUUUUAAGUAUGCUUAUGACAACUCUUAUUAAGGGUCAUUUGCUCGGUUAUGACAUUUUAAAUGCAAAGAUGACAUUGUUUGCCAUGACAACUUGACUUAACAAGCAAAGACAUGACAACCAGAUCUUUGUUACGACAACUUGACAUUACCAAGACAUCAAAACUUGUCAUAAAUCUGUCAUAAGGCAUUAUAAUUGUGUCAUGACUAUUUUUC
rnacentral:lncRNA from 1 species